rnacentral:lncRNA from 1 species
GCUUUUUAGGCUAAAAUGCGUCGGGAACGGCCGGCUUGUCCUCCUCUGUCGGCUGCCCCGGGGCAGGAGAAAGUGAGCAGAGACCCCGCUUGGACGGUGCGCCGCUAAUUGAAGUCACGCUUCAGCCCCGGAAGUGGCCCGAGAGCCGGAGGAGCUGUGGGGAAAGUGAACAGAGACAAGACAGACUGGACGCAGCACAGUGGCCCGGCCUCCUUCCCAGUGGGCCCAGGGAGCCCCACGCUCUCCAAGAGAAGCCUGGCUUUGCGAUCAGCCCCCCAGAGUGCUGGGGGUUGGGGCACGACUGGAUGUGAGCUCAGCCUGGUGGAGCGGGAGGGAGGGGGCUUGGUGUGGGUGAAGGGGGUGCGGAGGGUAUCGAAGCCAGGAGGGCACCUCCAGGAGGGCCAGGGGUCAGGAGCCUCCAGGGUGCCGGCCUGCAGCUCUGUGGGUGGGCAUGGCCGUGCCAAUGGGAAACAGCCCGGGCGUAAUUAACCCGCCUGAGCAAGGGGAG